CUCCGGUUGAUCCUGCCGGACCCGACUGCUAUCAGAGUGGGACUAAGCCAUGCGAGUCAACAUAGCAAUAUGUGGCAUACGGCUCAGUAACACGUAGUCAACAUGCCCAGGGGACGUGGAUAACCUCGGGAAACUGAGGAUAAACCGCGAUAGGUCAUCACUUCUGGAAUGGGUAAUGACUUAAAUCUAUAUGGCCCCUGGAUUGGACUGCGGCCGAUCAGGCUGUUGGUGAGGUAAUGGCCCACCAAACCUGUAACCGGUACGGGCUCUGAGAGGAGGAGCCCAGAGAUGGGCACUGAGACAAGGGCCCAGGCCCUAUGGGGCGCAGCAGGCGCGAAACCUCUGCAAUAGGCGAAAGCUUGACAGGGUUACUCUGAGUGAUUUCCGUUAAGGAGAUCUUUUGGCACCUCUAAAAAUGGUGCAGAAUAAGGGGUGGGCAAGUCUGGUGUCAGCCGCCGCGGUAAUACCAGCACCCCGAGUGGUCGGGACGAUUAUUGGGCCUAAAGCAUCCGUAGCCGGUUCUGCAAGUCCCCCGUUAAAUCCAGCUGCUCAACAGAUGGGCCGCGGAGGAUACUACAGAGCUAGGAGGCAGGAGAGGCAAGCGGUACUCAGUGGGUAGGGGUAAAAUCCGUUGAUCCAUUGAAGACCACCAGUGGCGAAGGCGGCUUGCCAGAAUGCGCUCGACGGUGAGGGAUGAAAGCUGGGGGAGCAAACCGGAUUAGAUACCCGGGUAGUCCCAGCCGUAAACGAUGCAGACUCGGUGAUGGGUUGGCUUCGCGCUAACCCAGUGCCGCAGGGAAGCCGUUAAGUCUGCCGCCUGGGUAGUACGGUCGCAAGACUGAAACUUAAAGGAAUUGGCGGGGGAACA
rnacentral:rRNA from 1 species